CUAAUUCUUACGGGAGCCACCAGUGGGGAUUUUUCCCCAAUGGGGGCAAGCCUGAUGGAGCAACGCCGCGUGAGUGAAGAAGGGUUUCGGCUCGUAAAGUUCUGUUGUUGAGAGAAGAACGUGGGUGAGGAGUAACUGGUCAACCACAGUGACGGUACUUCAGAAUCCCGGUCCCCAAAGGGGCGGGUAACUACCUGGCAGCCACCGCGGUAAUAAA
rnacentral:rRNA from 1 species